rnacentral:rRNA from 1 species
ACGAACGCUGGCGGCGUGCUUAACACAUGCAAGUCGCACGCUGAAGCUUGGUGCUUGCACUGGGUGGAUGAGUGGCGAACGGGUGAGUAAUACGUGAGUAACCUGCCCUUGACUCUGGGAUAAGCCUGGGAAACUGGGUCUAAUACUGGAUACGACAUGUCACCGCAUGGUGGUGUGUGGAAAGGGUUUUACUGGUUUUGGAUGGGCUCACGGCCUACCAGCUUGUUGGUGGGGUAAUGGCUCACCAAGGCGACGACGGGUAGCCGGCCUGAGAGGGUGACCGGCCACACUGGGACUGAGACACGGCCCAGACUCCUACGGGAGGCAGCAGUGGGGAAUAUUGCACAAUGGGCGGAAGCCUGAUGCAGCGACGCCGCGUGAGGGAUGACGGCCUUCGGGUUGUAAACCUCUUUCAGCACGGAAGAAGCGAAAGUGACGGUACGUGCAGAAGAAGCGCCGGCUAACUACGUG